GACGAACGCUGGCGGCGUGCUUAACACAUGCAAGUCGAACGGAAAGUCCCUUCUUUUGUGGGGUGCUCGAGUGGCGAACGGGUGAGUAACACGUGAGUAACCUGCCCUUGACUUUGGGAUAACUUCAGGAAACUGUGGCUAAUACCGGAUAGGUGCUCCUGCUGCAUGGUGGGGGUUGGAAAGUUUCGGCGGUUGGGGAUGGACUCGCGGCUUAUCAGCUUGUUGGUGGGGUAGUGGCUUACCAAGGCUUUGACGGGUAGCCGGCCUGAGAGGGUGACCGGCCAAAUUGGGAAUGAGAUACGGCCCAGACUCCUACGGGAGGCAGCAGUGGGGAAUAUUGCACAAUGGGAGGAAGCCUGAUGCAGCAACGCCGCGUGCGGGAUGACGGCCUUCGGGUUGUAAACCGCUUUCGCCUGUGACGAAGCGUGAGUGACGGUAAUGGGUAAAGAAGCACCGGCUAACUACGUG
rnacentral:rRNA from 1 species